AAGACCUGCUCUCUAAUGUCAAAACGAGGCGAGGUAUUUACGAAAAUCGAGACAUCGGCGAGACCUCCCGUCGGCAGAGAAAGAAUGACAUCAUCAGCGUGAUACGGUGGUUCUAUCUCUCUUUCUCUCUCCCCCUUCGUGAUAAUGCCUGCAACAUUAGUCGCCCUGGCAGUGUCUACGCUGUACAUUGUAUUCACGGUAUGGCUAGCGCACUGGCUGAGGCUGUACGCGACAUAUUUCAUCGAACAGCCCCUCGUGAGGUCUUUGUUCUUAGAGGCGAUCGCUACAGCGGAACUCUGCGGGGCAUGCUUCGAACUCAUUAUAAUUGCGGACAAUUGGGGCGUGUCAAUGUACGGAAUUUAUCUAUUUGUGCUGACGGUUUACUGGUCGAUGACCUGGGGCGACGCGUCGGCGUGCCCCUACACGCAUCUGGAGGACGUGGUCCUGGGUAACAAGUCCUUGCGCAUUGCUUUCCUCUUGAUAUGGGCGGAAUUUCUCGGCGGUAUCGCCGUGUUUAAGUACAUACAGACGCUGUGGGCGCUCGAAGUCGUCUCCACGCACAAGAACCGGGCGUUCGGUGCUUGUACCACGGAUUUACAGGUACCUGUUGUAAUCGGAGCUCUUGUAGAGGGCACCGCGACGUGCAUAUGUAGGGUGGUGUCGCGCGUACUGGGUGACCUAAAUCCACGAUUCAGCACGGCCAUCGACUCUUUCGUGGGGACGUCUCUGGUGGUUGCAGCUUUCGAUUAUUCCGGCGGUUACUUCAAUCCCGCAUUGGCGACUUCGUUGAAAUACGGUUGCCUGGGCACCACUUUCGUAGAGCACGUGAUAGUGUAUUGGAUCGCAACGUGUGUCGGAUCUAUCGUCUCUUUGCGCGUGUACAAAAUGCCGUUCGUGCAAAAUUUUGUUGAGCAACGCAAGGAGAAGGUCGCCUAAGGCUUACGACGACGGAAAGGUUUACCUGGCCUUUAUGUGCAAUCUUUGUUGAAUGAUUUUAAUAUGUGUAGAUACUUUUUGGCACUGAGAUUUUUAUAUACACGGAGGCGAUAACAAUUGCCAAAUGUUACAAUAGAACCGAGGCGAGAGUUCGUAAACGAGUGGUCGCUGAAAAUUGGUAAAAAAGUAACAGAAACUGUUAACGACUCGUUACUUUUUAAAUGAGAGUAAAGAUGAGGAAUUCUUUUUUAGAGGUGAGAAUAUUUAGAGGUGAGCAGCUUUUUUCAAUAAUUACGAGCAAAAAGGGAUAACGAGUUACUUUAGGAAUAUAAAAUUUCCCAAUCUUGAUAUUGUCCUCGUCAUAACUUGCGCAAAUCUACAACAACGCGUAAAACGUGCCGAAAGAUAUUGUGUAAUUCCACUUACGAUUGUAUAUCGCGAAUAAUCACAGUCACGCGUGAUAUUUAAAUAAAUUCAUUCAGUAACAAUAAAA